rnacentral:rRNA from 1 species
CAGCAGCCACGGGAAUACGUAGGUGGCAAGCGUUGUCCGGAAUUAUUGGGCGUAAAGGGCUCGCAGGCGGUUUCUUAAGUCUGAUGUGAAAGCCCCCGGCUCAACCGGGGAGGGUCAUUGGAAACUGGGAAACUUGAGUGCAGAAGAGGAGAGUGGAAUUCCACGUGUAGCGGUGAAAUGCGUAGAGAUGUGGAGGAACACCAGUGGCGAAGGCGACUCUCUGGUCUGUAACUGACGCUGAGGAGCGAAAGCGUGGGGAGCGAACAGGAUUAGAUACCCUGUAGUCCCUGUCUCUUAUACA